rnacentral:lncRNA from 1 species
UGCCCAUUCCAUGGCCGAUUCUUGUUGUGGGCUCAAUAUGCCAGAGCCAGAUGGAGACACAGAAGGGGGCCUACAGGAAGCUUGCCCGUCGGCUCUGCACGCGGCUAUUUUGAAAUUCUUAUACCUACCAACGAAGGGUUGGUAUUGGUAGUCAGCUUUGUAUUUUCCAUCGUCAGUAGCCCAAGAUGAAGCAUCCCAAAUUGAACCAUAAACCCACAUUGGUCUUAAGGGAAAUGUGGCAUCACUCUUCCUUGGAUACCUCCGAAUAGGCACAUCAUCCACAAAAAAUCUAUACAGUUGAAGAGAAAAACUUAGUGGGUAAUAACUUUAUGUGGGUAAAUUUAGUAUAAUUUAAAUAAGGAAAAUUUAGCACAUAUGUAUAUGUAUAUGAAGUUAAAAGUCAAAGAGGAUGGUGAGUAGGUUCGUAGAAGUGGGAUAUACUUACACGAUCUCACUUGGGGUCCAGAGAAUAGCAUAGUUAUGGAAGUCUUGUGUUGGAUCAAACCAGAGAUGAAAUUUGACUUCCCUGCCGACGAUAUUUCUAUCUCCACUUCCUCUUAUGAAAACAUUUGUCUGCAAAGUGUAGGGUUCCCCUGGAGUUGUACCCAGAAAUUCAAUGUCAAUUUCAUCAUGAUUUCCUGGAUAAUCUUCAUUAUUUGAAAGCUGCCAUUAAAGAUUCAGAUUAGAAAUAGUAGAUUAUUAACUAAAUCAAUAAAAAAAUAGAACACGUUCCAUUCAUUUUUUUCAUGCUUACAUAGAAAGAUGUAAUUACUCCAGCAGUAUAACCGGGUUGAAGUUUAAUGGCAGCUCCAAAAUAACCAGAUUGAUAUGUAUGAAGUGAUUUGAACCCACUUCCUGUUCUUGAAAAAAUAGCAGAAAUUGAUCAGAACCCAAUUCCAGAAUCAUCAACAAAAGAUGUCCCUUAGAGCUCAUUCUAAAUCAAGUAGAGAUGGAUGUAAGUGGAUAAAUAUAUUAUACAUAUAUAUAUAUAGGACCUGAGGUAGAAUCAAGCCAGAUUGUUAGGACACCCUGUUCUACUCUCUGGUGCUGAGGACCCCAACGAUUUCUGAAUCCUUGAUCAAAACCUAAAGACGGGAAUCUGGAUGUAGGAUAGUACCCUGGUGAGGGAGGACCCUGAGAAGAAACCAUGAGAAUGAGCAGAAAAGAGAAUAGUAGUGGAGCCAUUAACACACAACUAAGCUUUGCCAUUGCGAAUUAUCUAUAUAUAUAUGUAUGUAUGUAUAGC